rnacentral:rRNA from 1 species
AUUGAACGCUGGCGGCAUGCUUUACACAUGCAAGUCGAACGGCAGCGCGGUCUUCGCCCGCUCGUCCGGUGGCGGAGUGGCGGGUAAUGCAUGGGAACAUCCCCAGUUAUGGUUGCUAGCGGGGCGAAAGCGGGAUUAAUACGGCAUUCGACCAUACGAUGUAAGGGGGGAACCAGAAGACCUUGCGCCAUUGCGCGAGUCAAUGUCGGGGUAGCUGGUUGGGGGGGUAAAGGCGUACCAAGGCGACGAUCCGUAGCUGGUCUGAGAGGAUGACCAGCCACACUGGAACUGAGACACGGCCCAGACUCCUACGGGAGGCAGCAGUGGGGAAUUUUGGACAAUGGGGGCAAGCCUGAUCCAGCCAUGCCGCGUGGGGGAAGAAGGCCUUCGGGUUGUAAAGCGCUUUUGUUCGGGAAGAAAAGCUGUGGGCUAAUACCCCGGGGUGAUGACGGUACCGGAAGAAUAAGCACCGGCUAACUACGUG